UACGAAGGGGGCUAGCGUUGUUCGGAAUCACUGGGCGUAAAGCGCACGUAGGCGGAUCUUUUAAGUCAGGGGUGAAAUCCCGAGGCUCAACCUCGGAACUGCCUUUGAUACUGGGGAUCUCGAGUCCGGGAGAGGUGAGUGGAACUGCGAGUGUAGAGGUGAAAUUCGUAGAUAUUCGCAAAGAACACCAGUGGCGAAGGCGG
rnacentral:rRNA from 1 species